GUGAGGGGCCGGUGCUGGACACUGUGUAGGGACGCGGGAAUGCAAAGUCAUACACAUGACUGUGACUGAUGCACUAUCUCCAGGACAUGGAGUAGCAUUUCCGGACCUACAGCAAGACGUUGGAUGAAGGCAUAGCCCCAGAAAUAACACUGGUCCUGUUCAUCAGUGAGGGGCCGGUGCUGGACACUGUGUAGGGACACGGGAAUGCAAAGUCAUGCACAUGACUGUGACUGAUGCACUAUUUCCAGGACAUGGAGUAGCAUUUCGGGACCUACAGCAAGACGUUGGAUGAAGGCACAGGCCUAGGAAUCAUGCACAUACACAGAAACAUUUGCCCAAAUUCUAGAGGUAACCUCCUUUAGUAUGCCCAGAGGAAGGGCCAUACAGUAGCCAUGGAUUCCCUACAGGUUUCCUCCCCUCUGGAGGUUUUUCCUGUCCUGAGUAUUAGUUACUGUACGCUCUUUGUGAGUGAUGGGAGGUUACAAAAAAUCCCCUACACAAACAUUUUAAUAAAUAAUAAAUAAAGUUCCCCUUUUU